UACGUAGGGCGCAAGCGUUGUCCGGAAUUAUUGGGCGUAAAGAGCUCGUAGGCGGUUUGUCGCGUCUGUCGUGAAAGCCCACGGCUUAACCGUGGGUCUGCGGUGGAUACGGGCAGACUAGAGGCAGGUAGGGGAGAAUGGAAUUCCCGGUGUAGCGGUGAAAUGCGCAGAUAUCGGGAAGAACACCCGUGGCGAAGGCGGUUCUCUGGGACGGUACUGACGCUGAGGUGCGAAAGCGUGGGGAGCAAACAGG
rnacentral:rRNA from 1 species